rnacentral:rRNA from 1 species
GAUGAACGCUGGCGGCGUGCCUAAUACAUGCAAGUCGAGCGAACAGACGAGGAGCUUGCUCCUCUGACGUUAGCGGCGGACGGGUGAGUAACACGUGGAUAACCUACCUAUAAGACUGGGAUAACUUCGGGAAACCGGAGCUAAUACCGGAUAAUAUCUUGAACCGCAUGGUUCAAUAGUGAAAGACGGUUUUGCUGUCACUUAUAGAUGGAUCCGCGCCGCAUUAGCUAGUUGGUAAGGUAACGGCUUACCAAGGCAACGAUGCGUAGCCGACCUGAGAGGGUGAUCGGCCACACUGGAACUGAGACACGGUCCAGACGCCUGCGGGAGGCAGCAGUAGGGAAUCUGCCGCAAUGGGCGAAAGCCUGACGGAGCAACGCCGCGUGAGUGAUGAAGGUCUUCGGAUCGUAAAACUCUGUUAUUAGGGAAGAACAAAUGUGUAAGUAACUAUGCACGUCUUGACGGUACCUAAUCAGAAAGCCACGGCUAACUACGUG